rnacentral:pre_miRNA from 1 species
GCCAACUACUGGGACAUAGUCGUACAGAAAAUGUUGUGUUGUUCGAUUCCAAUGUUAACUGUAAGACUGUGUCUUGGUUUCUUGGU